AUUGAACGCUGGCGGCAGGCUUAACACAUGCAAGUCGAGCGGGGUGAUGGUGCUUGCACUAUCUCUUAGCGGCGGACGGGUGAGUAAUGCUUAGGAAUCUGCCUAUUAGUGGGGGACAACAUCUCGAAAGGGAUGCUAAUACCGCAUACGUCCUACGGGAGAAAGCAGGGGAUCACUUGUGACCUUGCGCUAAUAGAUGAGCCUAAGUCGGAUUAGCUAGUUGGUGGGGUAAAGGCCUACCAAGGCGACGAUCUGUAGCGGGUCUGAGAGGAUGAUCCGCCACACUGGGACUGGGACACGGCCCAGACUCCUACGGGAGGCAGCAGUGGGGAAUAUUGGACAAUGGGGGGAACCCUGAUCCAGCCAUGCCGCGUGUGUGAAGAAGGCCUUAUGGUUGUAAAGCACUUUAAGCGAGGAGGAGGCUCUUUUGGUUAAUACCCAAGACGAGUGGACGUUACUCGCAGAAUAAGCACCGGCUAACUCUGUGCCAGCAGCCGCCGUAA
rnacentral:rRNA from 1 species